rnacentral:RNase_P_RNA from 1 species
UGCAAUUUUUGGAUAAUCGCGUGGUAUUUUAAUACCAUGAGGAAAGUCCAUGCUAGCACUGGCUGUGAUGCCGGUAGUGUUUGUGCUAGGUGAAUCAAUAAGCCUAGGGACAUCUUUUGGAUGUUACGGCGGGCAAAAAGGCUAAGUUCUUUAUGGAUAUGUCUGAAUAGCCCUGAAAGUGCCACAGUGACGUAGUUCUUAGGGAAACCUAAGAAGUGGAACGCGGUAAACCCCUCAAGCUAGCAACCCAAACUUUGGUAGGGGCAUGGGAUAGUUGGAAUCCGAACGAUCUAUCCUGACUGGAAACAGUAGACAGAUGAUUAUCGAAGGAGAUAAGACCUAGUUAUCUCUGGAACAAAACAUGGCUUAUAGAAAAUUGCAUAUA